CAGACAGUGGAGGAAGAGCGCAGGCUGGAGGAGAGACAGACGCUGGAGGACUGAAGAUGGAGAAGGAUCUAUUGACUCUCUCUGCAUGGAAAUCAGAUGAACACGCAGAGACAAUCCAACUGGAAAAUUAGGCACGACUGCAACUUGAGGACAUUUUGGCUUUCCUUGCUCUCCUUGCGACACAGGCCUUGUGACGCUGCUUCAUCUUCAUCCUCAUGUCAGAAGAUUGUCCAGCAUGCUUAUAGUGAGAAGGUGGGGCGGGGGGGGGUCAGUUUCUGUCUUUGGUUAUCUAGCUGUAUGAGUUUUAAAUACCUGUCAUAAAGCUAGAUAACCGAAAGUAGAGAUGACUUCCAUCAGCUGCGUGUUCACACCUGAGGAGGGGAUUCUCAAGAACGUUAUCACCUAGAAAAGGAUUCCUUAACAGAGCCAUCAUCAAACAAAAACAAGAAGGGAAAAUGAAGGAAAAUGGUUGGUCCGAAAUUGCCGCCUUCUCCAAAACCCUCGCCUGUUUUUACCCAGAAUCCCCCGAUGCCAUCUGUACUGCCAACGGAGACACUCUGCUGUGCCAGGAGACAGACAAAGACCCUCCCAAGAUCUCUGGAGCACGGGGACGUCAGAGGAGCCAUCUUGGGAGAUGUUUCCUCGAGACAUCUAAAAUGGCUGGGCUUGCACUUGAGGAUGGCACAAGAACUCUGAAGACCUCUACACUUGGCUUUGUGGAUCAAACUCAACACCGACAAAUAAAUCAUCACCAGGCUUACAGGACUCUGAGCAUUGAAUCUGAAUAUAACUUUGUGAUUGGACCAUCCUGCUAUAAAUUGUAUUGAACUGAAUUUAAUUUGCAGUCUGUAUAAUUGGAUGCUAAUCGGACCUGUUUAUCUUCUAAAUUACCUUCAGAUGACAUUUGUUGUAAUUUAAAUCAGAAUUUUACUGGUACCCUAAAAUUAGCAACUUGAUAUAUAUAUAUAUACAUAUAUAUAUAUAUAUAUAUAUAUAUAUUUUUUAUUUUUUUUUUUAUCACAUAACCUUUUUUAAGUUAAUACAAUACUGUUACAAUAAAGCAAGUAAUUUCACAAGUUCAGAAGAAAUUCUGAUUGGAAAUGAUUAGAUAUUCGUACCCCACUUAAUAAAAAAUUUUACUUUUAUCAGUCCCUAAUUCCCUUUCCCACCAUUUGUGAGAAUGUAAUGAUAUUUUGAAACAUAUAAAUGUGCAAGAUAAAUUAUCAAAUGUACUGGCAAUAAUAAAAAUGGCAAAACUCA